rnacentral:lncRNA from 1 species
UUUAUAAGGGGAUUACUUUCCAUCUUCUAAACAGAAAUAACCAAAAUCUUGGGAACAUGUUUAAACCCUGAAUUUGUUAAAAUAUUGCAGGAUUGUCUGACCUUGUAAGUUUUUCAUGACCAAUAGUCAAAUCCUGUGAGAAUGGCUUUCUGAGGAAGCAAUAACACUGGUCUCCCCGCCUCAGCAGUAAAACAGGCUUGUAAAAGAAAACACUGCAGAACGGGCAUGACCAUACUCCCAUUCUUCCCCAGUUCUGCUCCUAGGCAUGGUCUUUGGCACGUAUUUUUUCCUGCUAAAGGUAGUGUAAUUUACAUGUCUGGCUUUCCAUAAGUAGUGAAAACACUUUUUAUAUAUAAAAGUCCAGGUGGUUACAUAGCCAUAUCAUACAUUCCUGUUCUCCCAGGGUGACAUAAAUAGUUAUUUAUCCACACUAUUUCAGAGACACAGAAUCAAGGUGGUCAGCUAAGUGCAGCAUGUCCCUGCUGGUGCCUUGGAGGGUUUCUGGUCUGCUCAUGCUUCUGUUGAGGGCCAAGUUUUGCCUACAGAUGGGUCUCUGAGUGCUCGCUUCCUGCGACUGUUUUGACACGGCUCCACUGAAGUAAUUUGAAAGACUGUCUUCUGCAGGCUUUGGGUGGAUCCAUUUAGUGCCUUUAAUCCGUAAAGAAAAAGCCCUCAGUAAAGGAAGGGGAAUGUUACCUGCAUUUUAUAAAAGGAUACUGUUUAUAAAGGAAAUACUCCAACAUGGAUUCGUGCCCAUUGUGUGAGAUGACUGCUUUCUACCCUCUUCUGUCAGCGGUCUGAGUCGCAUUUCCUUCCCUCGAGCUGUGACCCUCCCUGCUGUGUAGCAGAUGCUAUGUGUCAGGAAGGCAUCUCCGUGCCUGUGAUUCUCCUCAUGGGGAGGUGGCUGUGCGGUGUGGGCCCCGUGCAGAGCUCUACCAAAGGCAGGAAUGGGGGCUGUGGGCAGGGCAGCUCCUCACCACCAGCUCUGCACCUGGCAGGCAGCAGCCUGAGCCCUGUGUCCGUGCUGCAGCAGUGGUGCUGUGCAGCCUGCCAGGCCUUGUUACAGGCUCGGUGCCAGAGCGAGGACCACAGGCAUCUCGCACGUGUGCCGCAAAGCUGCGCUGAGAAAUGCAGCUUGCAGAGCUUACGCAAUUGAUAAACUACAGUUGGGAUAUACGCUACAAGAAUUGGCUUGUUCAAAAGCACAGGUAGCUUUGACCAAAAAGAAAAAAAUAAUAAAUAACAAAUAAAUAAGGUGUAAUUUAAUUUGUGCAAUUGUUUGUAACAAGAUAUUCACAUUAAAAAAAAUAAUGCAUGGAAACCACUUUCUCUGACUUAACCCUCACAUUUAAUAUUCAAUAUUUGCAAUACUUGACUUUAUUUGAAUAUGAAAUCAUGGUCCAACCAUGCUUUUUGCUGAUUUUCCUGCAUUGUUGUAUCGUGCUUUACUGUUCUGUAUAGAAAACACUGUUCCUCAUUUCCAAAGUGUACAAAUAUGAAUGUGAAGUUGGCAGACUCAACCAGUGGCCAUAACAGUGGUGAUCUGCGUUAUAUCUUUAAAUUCAGGUAGUAAGUGAGGAAAAAUGUGCAAGCAUGAAAAAAAAUAACCUAAAUUAGAAUGAAAUGGGCUGGGUAAUUUUAUUUGUGCUUUGAUUACUUCAUGAGAAAUUAAGAUAUUGGUUUUCCCUUCUUUAAUUUGAGCAUCAAGAACAAAAUUUCUUGAAAGUAACCCUGAAAAUAUUGUCUUUCUUGUAAUUUUUUUUAUUUAUUUCAAUAGAAAAAAAAAUUAAUUUAAGUGUUAGGUCUGUUUCCAUUCCCUCUAAAAUUAAUGGUGUAAUGAACUAAGUAUGGACAGUUAUAAUUGUUCUUAUUUUCCAAGUUUUUUAUACGAGCUAAGUUCCAUUCUGGUCUUUUCUUUUUCCUCAGUGGGUUUGACACACUUGUGCGUGCAUGACAAGAGUAUCUUUGGUUUGUUUUCGUGUAUCUAAUUAGCAACAUGUUGACCUCAGAAAUGCCUUUGUGAAUUAUUCCUCUGUCUUAUCUUGUUCCAACCAACAGAACUGCAAUAUGCAGGUAAAGUAGAUGGUGAUGAUAACGCACAAUUACUACCUAGAGCCCAAUGAGUUGGUCAGGUUGACAACAGAGACUAUAGAGAGCAGAAUGAAAAAGUGUAGGGAGACAAAGUUUAAGCAAACACAAAACUGGAGAUCAAAGAAAAAUAGGAAAGUCUGCCUACAAUUGUACAGGAAGAAGAGAUUGAGAGGGGAAAGAAAAUGGAUGUGAGGAAAAUGGUAUUCUCUAGAAAAA